AAAUUGAAGAGUUUGAUCAUGGCUCAGAUUGAACGCUGGCGGCAGGCCUAACACAUGCAAGUCGAACGGUAACAGGAAGCAGCUUGCUGUUUCGCUGACGAGUGGCGGACGGGUGAGUAAUGUCUGGGAAACUGCCUGAUGGAGGGGGAUAACUACUGGAAACGGUAGCUAAUACCGCAUAACGUCGCAAGACCAAAGAGGGGGACCUUCGGGCCUCUUGCCAUCGGAUGUGCCCAGAUGGGAUUAGCUAGUAGGUGGGGUAACGGCUCACCUAGGCGACGAUCCCUAGCUGGUCUGAGAGGAUGACCAGCCACACUGGAACUGAGACACGGUCCAGACUCCUACGGGAGGCAGCAGUGGGGAAUAUUGCACAAUGGGCGCAAGCCUGAUGCAGCCAUGCCGCGUGUAUGAAGAAGGCCUUCGGGUUGUAAAGUACUUUCAGCGGGGAGGAAGGGAGUAAAGUUAAUACCUUU
rnacentral:rRNA from 2 species